UACGUAGGUGGCAAGCGCUGUCCGGAUUUACUGGGUGUAAAGGGCGUGCAGCCGGGAGUGCAAGUCAGAUGUGAAAUCCAUAGGCUCAACCCAUGAACUGCAUUUGAAACUGUACUACUUGAGUACCGGAGGGGCAAUCGGAAUUCCUAGUGUAGCGGUGAAAUGCGUAGAUAUUAGGAGGAACACCAGUGGCGAAGGCGGAUUGCUGGACGGCAACUGACGGUGAGGCGCGAAAGCGUGGGGAGCAAAC
rnacentral:rRNA from 1 species